GACGAACGCUGGCGGCGUGCCUAAUACAUGCAAGUAGAACGCAGUUGCGAACGGGUGAGUACCGCGUAGGUAACUGCCUCAUAGCGGGGGAUAACUAUUGGAAACGAUAGCUAAUACCUCAUACUUUGAGAUGGACCUGCGUUGUAUUAGCUAGUUGGUGAGGUAAAGGGUCACCAAGGCGACGAGACAUAGCCGAACUGAGAGGGUGAUCGGCCAAAAUGGGGCUGGGAAAACGGCCAGACGCCUACGGGAGGCAGCAGUAGGGAAUCUUCGGCAAUGGAAGGAAGGCUGAACGAGCAACGCCGCGGGAGGUAAGAAGGGUUUCGGAUCGUAAAGCUCUGUUGGUAGAGAAACGGUAACUAACCAGAAAGGGACGGCUAACUACGUGCCAGCAGCCGCGGUAAUAC
rnacentral:rRNA from 1 species